GAUGAACGCUGGCGGCGUGCUUAACACAUGCAAGUCGAACGGGAAACCUUUUAUUGAAGCUUCGGCAGAUUUAGCUGGUUUCUAGUGGCGGACGGGUGAGUAACGCGUGGGUAACCUGCCUUAUACAGGGGGAUAACAGUCAGAAAUGACUGCUAAUACCGCAUAAGCGCACAGAGCUGCAUGGCUCAGUGUGAAAAACUCCGGUGGUAUAAGAUGGACCCGCGUUGGAUUAGCUGGUUGGUGGGGUAACGGCCCACCAAGGCGACGAUCCAUAGCCGGCCUGAGAGGGUGAACGGCCACAUUGGGACUGAGACACGGCCCAGACUCCUACGGGAGGCAGCAGUGGGGAAUAUUGCACAAUGGGGGAAACCCUGAUGCAGCGACGCCGCGUGAAGGAAGAAGUAUCUCGGUAUGUAAACUUCUAUCAGCAGGGAAGAUAAUGACGGUACCUGACUAAGAAGCCCCGGCUAACUACGUG
rnacentral:rRNA from 1 species